rnacentral:rRNA from 1 species
AUGGCUUUCGGCAGCAAUCUGAUGAGGGUCCUGUUCAUCCUGAUGGUCAUGUUCGCCUUGAGUCCGGCGAAAAGGCCCAUAGCCAGGAAGAGCACUGCUCUUGCCCCUGUACCCGAAGCCGGCGAGGAGUCUGGCGCUCGCGGGAUCUUUGACAUAACCAAGCUUGGUGCGACCAGCGAUGGCAAAACCGACUGCUCAAGGGAACUCCAGGAGGCAUGGAAUUCGGCAUGCGGGGCGACUGAGCAGGCGAUGGUCCUCGUUCCGAAGGGAGAAUUUUUGGUUGGCCCUCUUAACUUCAGCGGGCCUUACAAGGGCAGUGUCACAAUCCAGAUCGACGGCACCCUGCUGGGCUCCAACGACCUGCCCAAGUAUGACAGGGGUAGCUGGAUGAACAUCCUCCAGGUCGACAACCUUGUCACCACUGGCUCUGGCACGAUUGACGGCCAAGGCACUAUUGUGUAUACCAAGGAUCCAGAGGCUCAGGCCUUUCCCAACUCCCUCCUCCCGGACUUCAUGAAAAACGGGACCGUCUCCUGCAUCACACUGCUGAAUUCAAAGUUCUUUCACAUGAACAUUUACAUGUCCGAGGACGUGAAGGCCGAGAACUUGACCAUCACGGCACCAGGGGACAGCCCCAACACUGGCGGCAUCCAUAUUGGUGACUCGAGCAACAUCAACGUCACAGGUGCAACCAUCAGCACCGGAGACGACUGCAUCUCCAUCGGAGGGGGAAGCUCCCACAUCAAAGUCACCCGUGUAACAUGUGGGCCAGGCCAGGGGAUCAUUGUGGGCUGCCUUGGCAGGUACAGGGAUGAGAAGGACGUGAGCGAUGUGACGGUUAAGGAUUGCGUUCUCUGGAGCAGCACCGACGGAGUACGCAUCAAGACCUACGAGGACGCGGUGAAGUCCAUCACAGCGUCCAAUUUGACCUUCAAGAACAUCAAGAUGGAGGACGUUGCGAACCCCAUAAUCAUCGACCAGAACUACUGUCCCGAGAAGACAGUGUCCACCGCCACCAAGAGCAAGUCCGAGGUCACUGUGAAGGAUGUCAUCUUCCGCAACAUCACCGGCACAUCAUCCACGCCGGAGGCAGUUAGUCUGCUCUGUUAUGAAAAGCAGUGUAGCGGCGUCGACCUCAUCGACGUCAAUGUGGAGUGCAACGGGAAGAACAACAAGACCAUUGGGGUGUGCAGCAAUGCCAAGGGCACCACCAAGGACACCCUCCAGGCAUUGGCCUGCCUCGUAUUGAUAAAGGCAAAGGUGUCCCGUCUUUCGAUGAGAUGA